ACCAGGAUGGCCGAGUGGUUAAAGCGUUGGACUUAAGAUCCAAUGGAUGUAUUCGAACAACACUCCUGGUA
rnacentral:tRNA from 1 species